rnacentral:rRNA from 1 species
UCCGGUUGAUCCUGCCGGACCCGACUGCUAUCAGAAUAGGACUAAGCCAUGCGAGUCAACGUAGCAAUACGUGGCAUACGGCUCAGUAACACGUAGUCAACAUGCCCAGGGGACGUGGAUAACCUCGGGAAACUGAGGAUAAACCGCGAUAGGUCAUAGUAUCUGGAAUGAUUUAUGGCUUAAAUCUAUAUGUCCCCUGGAUUGGACUGCGGCCGAUCAGGCUGUUGGUGAGGUAAUGGCCCACCAAACCUAAAACCGGUACGGGCUCUGAGAGGAGAAGCCCGGAGAUGGGCACUGAGACAAGGGCCCAGGCCCUAUGGGGCGCAGCAGGCGCGAAAACUCUGCAAUAAGCGAAAGCUUGACAGGGUUAUUCUGAGUGAUUUCCGCUAAGGAAAUCUUUGGCACCUCUAAAAAUGGUGCAGAAUAAGGGGUGGGCAAGCCUGGUGUCAGCCGCCGCGGUAAUACCAGCACCCCGAGUGGUCGGGACGAUUAUUGGGCCUAAAGCAUCCGUAGCCGGUUCUACAAGUCUUCCGUUAAAUCCACCUGCUCAACAGUUGGGCUGCGGAGGAUACUAUAGAGCUAGGAGGCGGGAGAGGCAAGCGGUACUCAGUGGGUAGGGGUAAAAUCCGUUGAUCCAUUGAAGACCACCAGUGGCGAAGGCGGCUUGCCAGAACGCACUCGACGGUGAGGGAUGAAAGCUGGGGUAGCAAACCGGAUUAGAUACCCGGGUAGUCCCAGCUGUAAACGAUGCAGACUCGGUGAUGAAUAGGCUUCGUGCCUAUUCAGUGCCGCAGGGAAGCCGUUAAGUCUGCCGCCUGGGGAGUACGGACGCAAGACUGAAACUUAAAGGAAUUGGCGGGGGAGCACCACAAGGGGUGAAGCCUGCGGUUCAAUUGGAGCAACGCCGGAAAUCUUACCGGGGGCGACAGCAGAAUGAAGGUCAAGCUGAAGACUUUACCAGACAAGCUGAGAGGAGGUGCAUGGCCGUCGCCAGCUCGUGCCGUGAGGUGUCCUGUUAAGUCAGGUAACGAGCGAGAUCCCUGCCUCUAGUUGCUUCCAUUGCUCUCAGGAGUAGUAGGGCUAAUUAGAGGGACUGCCGUCGCUGAGACGGAGGAAGGAGGGGGCUACGGCAGGUCAGUAUGCCCCGAACCCUCGGGCCACACGCGGGCUGCAAUGGUAAGGACAAUAAGUUCCUAUUCCGAAAGGAGGAGGUAAUCUCCAAACCUUACCUCAGUUAUGAUUGAGGGCUGAAACCCGCCCUCAUGAAUAUGGAAUCCCUAGUAACCGCGUGUCAUUAUCGCGCGGUGAAUACGUCCCUGCUCCUUGCACACACCGCCCGUCGCUUCAUCGAAGUUGGUUCUUGGCGAGGUUGUGUCUCAUUGGCACUAUCGAACCUGGGGUCAGCAACGAGGGAG